rnacentral:rRNA from 1 species
UACGGGGGGGGCAAGCGUUGUUCGGAAUUACUGGGCGUAAAGGGCUCGUAGGCGGCCAACUAAGUCAGACGUGAAAUCCCUCGGCUUAACCGGGGAACUGCCUCUGAUACUGGAUGGCUUGAGAUUGGGAGAGGGAUGCGGAAUUCCAGGUGUAGCGGUGAAAUGCGUAGAUAUCUGGAGGAACACCGGUGGCGAAGGCGGCAUCCUGGACCAACACUGACGCUGAGGAGCGAAAGCCAGGGGAGCAAACGGGG